rnacentral:rRNA from 1 species
ACUCCUACGGGAGGCAGCAGUGGGGAAUAUUGCACAAUGGGCGCAAGCCUGAUGCAGCAACGCCGUGUGAGUGAAGAAGGUUUUCGGAUCGUAAAACUCUGUCCUAAGGGAAGAAACAAAUGACGGUACCUUAGGAGGAAGCCCCGGCUAACUACGUGCCAGCAGCCGCGGUAAUACGUAGGGGGCAAGCGUUAUCCGGAAUCACUGGGCGUAAAGGGUGCGUAGGCGGCUUAGCAAGCCAGGGGUGAAAGGCAUUGGCUCAAACCAAUGUAAGCCUUUGGAACUGUUAAGCUUGAGUGCAGGAGAGGUAAGUGGAAUUCCUAGUGUAGAGGUGAAAUUCGUAGAUAUUAGGAGGAACACCAGUGGCGAAGGCGACUUACUGGACUGUAACUGACGCUGAUGCACGAAAGCGUGGGUAGCGAACAGGAUUAGAUACCCUGGUAGCACAGAG